GAAUAUAUAUUGCCAAUUAUUAAUCCAUCCGAUAGCAUUUGUUGAGAAUAGGUAUAUUAAGGUUCUUCCUUGACAGCGAAACGAAAAGAACUGAUCAGCAGGUCCGCAACUUGAGUUCUUUAGCGAACAGCGAAGCUAGAGAAAACCAAGCAUUUACAAUAUAAUAUACACUCAUUCGCCAAAAAGUCUAGCGCAAAUCAACAUCAUUAAAACGACUGUGGACUGGCGGGUACCAUAAUUAUCCUUUCAAGGUCUCAAAGUCAAGGAAAAAUGAUGAAACAAACUAUGAACAACCUCCAGUAUAAAUCUAAAAUGUCCAGUCGUGGAAAAGGAGAGAAAACAAAGGCGAAGGGAAAGUCAUCCCGUUCGUUCAAAGCGGGACUCCAAUUUCUUGUUAGUCGUAUCCAUAGACUUCUGAGGAAAGGUAAUUACGUCAACGCGUGGGAUUUGGUGCUCCUGUCUACCUGGCUGUAGUUAUGGAAUAUUUGGCUGCUGAAGAUUUGGAAUUGACUGGAAAUGCAACACGAGACAAUAAAAAAUCCAGAAUCAUACCUAGACACGUUCAACUCGCCAUCCGUAAUGACGAGGAAUUAAACAAAUUACUAUAUGGAGUCACCAUCAAUCAAGGAGAUGUUUUGCCAAACAUUCAAGCGGCACUUUUGCCAAGAAAAUAA
rnacentral:misc_RNA from 1 species